AAAGACAGUGAAAAGAAAACAAAAGAGGCGCAUCUCUGUCUUAGGCUCUACACAGGUCUCUGUAGGCAACACAAACCAACCAAACCAACAAUGGCUCCUGUAUAUUUCCAAUUACACGCGAACAAAUAACAUAACAACUAAAAGGCUCUUUCGAUCAACUGUGGGGCCCUUCUAAUGUCUCCGUCGUUGUCAACGUCAUCGACGUCGAUGCUCUUCACUCACUUCACACACUUUUGUGGAACUGACUGCAGACUCGCUUGGUUUUUUUAUGAACCCAUUGAAGCAUACAUAUAUUUUGAUAAUUACACAUAUUCUA